rnacentral:rRNA from 1 species
CCUACGGGGGGCAGCAGUGGGGAAUCUUGCGCAAUGGGCGAAAGCCUGACGCAGCGACGCCGCGUGCGGGAAGAAGGCCUUAGGGUUGUAAACCGCUUUCAGGAGGGACGAAGCCACUCGGGUGAAUAGCCCAGAGGGUGACGGUACCUCCAGAAGAAGCCCCGGCUAACUACGUGCCAGCAGCCGCGGUAAUACGUAGGGGGCCAGCGUUGUCCGGAUUCAUUGGGCGUAAAGAGCGUGUAGGCGGCCAGGUAGGUCCGGUGUGAAAACUGGAGGCUCAACCUCCAGCUGUCAUCGGAAACCAUCUGGCUAGAGUCCGGAAGAGGAGAGCGGAAUUCCUGGUGUAGCGGUGAAAUGCGCAGAUAUCAGGAAGAACACCUAUGGCGAAGGCAGCUCUCUGGGACGGUACUGACGCUGAGACGCGAAAGCGUGGGGAGCGAACAGGAUUAGAUACCCGAGUAGUC